ACCAACUGCUCAGUGACAGCCUGGGCAUCAGUCAGCAGGUGUUGACUUUGAUCAGGAUCUGGCUAACAAUUUUUGCAGUUGUAUGAAGGCUAAGGUGAGCAAGUAAAGAAUGUGCUUAAAGUUUUCAAGUGGUAAUAAUGGCUUGACUUUGGUUGAACUUACAUCUGGCUGUAAAAGAACACAGGAAACAAAAUGUGUCAUCAGUUUCCCACUGCUUGUUGGCAUCGUGAUUAAAUGUUGGCAUCAUGGCAUCAUCAUUUGCAGAAGCUAGAUUUUAAAUGAGCAUAGCAGGUCAAACAUUCUUCUCAGGGAAAGACAAGGUUCAUUUGGGUACAAGAAAAUUAUAUUUGUUCUAAUACAAGAAAAAAAGUCAUACAUCUUCAGUCAAAAUUACAGUGCGUUUAGAGGAGGUCAUCUGGGGAGCGGUGACUGAACAGAGCAUGAUGGAUAAUUCCUCACACACAAGCAUGAGCAUGAAAGAGUAGUGAAAAAUUGAGACUACCUACUUUGAGUUUCUGAUGAUACUGCCAACACAAUGGAAAAUCUGAGCCUUUGUCUUAUUUUAACACUCUUAUAAAAUUGAGUUCACCUGGGGAGAACUCUAAAAAGACAGAAGAAACUACUGUUGGAGAGUACUCAUGAAGAAAAAUCCCAGUAAUUUUCCCAUUUAAUAAGUUCAAAGUAUUUAUUUUCUCACCAUAUUUGCUGUUAAACUCAUCUCUCUAAACAUUCAUAAAUAUAUAAAUAUCUUUCUAAGUGCUUUUAAAAAUUCAUACUAUGAGCUAUGAUACUUUAUUCUUUAUUAAAAGAAUCAAAAUCUUAUAAUUCAGGCAGGUGCCAGGAUCAAAACAACAAUGAUAAGAUCACCUGUUGGAAAUAAGAUGAGAAGCAAGCA